AGGUUAAUUCUCUGUUCGCCAAUCAGGUGCCUUCUCCUUUGCGGUAGUUCGAGUACCUCACCAAAGUUUAGCGGUAACAAUUUGAUGCAUCAGAUAGAAAAAAGUCAUACAGUUAUCCCCAAUAAGAAUCAUUGCAAAAAUCAGGGCACAAAAUACAUCAACUAGUUCCACCAAACGGUCAUCAUGGCAUGAAGCACCUCCAGUGCCCAACAUAGAGCCCAGUGCUUUGUGAUCGGUUGUCAAGUUUGCAG
rnacentral:lncRNA from 1 species